GGAAACUUAAUGCUGAUAUGCUACUAUAUUUUUAAGGAAAGGAACUUGAAAGAAUUCAAUUUGUGGAUAAUAGAAGUUACCGUGACUAGAAAAAGUUGCUGCAGGGUGUGGCCAAAUGACAUAAGUGGAAGAAUAGAAGAGGCAAUGCCACUAAGGGAAAUAACCCACACCAAAUGCCUUUGCACAUGCUUUUUACAAGUUGCAGACACUGCCUUUAUCACAAUUAAGAAGAUAUAAAGGCAGGCUUGUUGCAUUCAUCUUAAAGGCAUGCUUGUUGCUGAAAGUUCAACAACUAACUGAUUCCAGAGUAAACAAACACAAUAUGUCUAUGGCAUUAAGAUGGUUUACAAUAUAAACAUGCUAGAAUGAUAUAAUGAUCUAAAAACAAAGGCACACUGCCCAUUUAUAGUUGCACAAAAAUGGGGUCUCCGUGGAAAUUCACAUAAAGCAGCUGCUAUAAAUACUCAAAACUGUACCAUUGACGAUUCAAACACAACACUUUUGCCAUUGAACCAAGCCAUGGACACAAAACAUUUAAGGAUGCGUGGAAAUCCAUUAAUCAUAAACAAGGACAUCUAUUUUGUGGGCACAUGAAUUUUGGAGAAUCCAGUCAACACAAACUAGAGCAAUCAAAGGCAUCAGAUGUCAUACUCAUAUGAAGAAUUUAAAUAACACAUUUUACUUUCAAUUCAACAAUCUAAGCAUAUUUUCAUGACUUAAGAAAAGAUAGCUAUUUUUUAAAUUGGUCAGUUUUGUCUUGAGUUAGCUAAGGAGAACUCCAGGAACAAUGUCAUACCUUUUCUCUG
rnacentral:misc_RNA from 1 species